rnacentral:rRNA from 1 species
AAUAUUGGUCAAUGGACGCAAGUCUGAACCAGCCAUGCCGCGUGCAGGAAGACGGCCUUAUGGGUUGUAAACUGCUUUUGUCAGGGAAUAAACCCUCCUUUGCGAAGGGGGCUGAAGGUACCUGAAGAAUAAGCACCGGCUAACUCCGUGCCAGCAGCCGCGGUAAUACGGAGGGUGCAAGCGUUAUCCGGAUUCAUUGGGUUUAAAGGGUGCGCAGGCGGGCUUGUCAGUCAGUGGUGAAAUCCUACGGCUUAACCGUGGAACUGCCAUUGAUACUGCAGGUCUUGAGUAUAGUUGAAGUGGGCGGAAUGUAGCAUGUAGCGGUGAAAUGCAUAGAUAUGCUACAGAACACCAAUUGCGAAGGCAGCUCACUAAGUUAUAACUGACGCUCAUGCACGAAAGCGUGGGGAUCAAACAGGAUUAGAUACCCUGGUAGUCCACGCUGUAAACGAUGAUCACUCGUUGUUGGCGAUACACAGUCAGCGACCAAGCGAAAGUGAUAAGUGAUCCACCUGGGGAGUACGAUCGCAAGGUUG